rnacentral:lncRNA from 1 species
AAGAAAUAUUGUCAGUGGGUAUUUGGGCAAGGGAGCACUUUGCAGUGGGAUGUCCCUCCUGGACGUGCCGUGACAUGAAGUCCUGACUACGUCUGGGCUGCAAUUGUUUUGCAAUUGUUUCCCUGUGCGGCGAGAAGGCUUUCUAAAGGUCCCAGUAAGACAUUUUACUCUUACAUCCCCCUUUCCUGAGACUUUUUUUUCAGAUUAACAUGUCCAUCCUUUGCUGUUGCUGCCUCCCAGCUACUUCAGAAGAGUGGGAACCCCUUCCUGUAAAUACAAGGCAGCCCUGUCGAAACAUCGGGGUCUUCAAUAAGGAGGGGACCCUCGUGAUGAAGCUGGUCAAUGUAGAUGCCGUUGACGCCCUGUUCUCCGAUGUCGCCAGCGCUUUCAACAAGCAGCACGAGGAUCACGCUGCCAUGACGGAGGCUGCCCAGAAGCUGAAGGAGGUCUCUGGCUGCGCUCCCACCGCCAGCCUUACAGCCUGCAUAGGGGCCGUGCAGCAGGAGCAGGGUAAGCAGGCGAAAGCUGAGAGCCAGCUCAAGGCCAGCAUUAAAAUAACUGGGACCACGUGAAUUAAC